rnacentral:rRNA from 1 species
UACAGAGGGUGCGAGCGUUGUUCGGAAUCACUGGGCGUAAAGCGCACGCAGGCGGAUCGUUAAGUCAGGGGUGAAAUGCCGAGGCUCAACCUCGGAACUGCCUUUGAUACUGGCGAUCUUAGAGUCCGGGAGAGGUGAGUGGAACUCCUAGUGUAGAGGUGAAAUUCGUAGAUAUUCGGAAGAACACCAGUGGCGAAGGCGGCUCACUGGCCCGGUACUGACGCUCAGGUGCGAAAGCGUGGGGAGCAAACAGG